GAAUCCUGUGAACAGUAUACAACCUGUGGAGAAUGUCUGAGUUCAGGAGACCCUCACUGUGGCUGGUGUGCUCUGCAUCACACAUGUUCAAGGAGGGACAAAUGUGAGCGAGCCAAUGAACCUUUCCGAUUUGCAGCCAGCAUUAACCAGUGCAUGAGUAUCAUUGUUCAACCUAGCAGCAUCCCAGUUUCUGAGCACAGCCUUCCGCUCAGCUUGCUGGUGAAUGAUGCUCCUGACUUGUCAACUGGCAUAAUUUGUGUAUUUGGAAACCUCACUGAAGUGGAAGGCCAGGUUCUGGGGAACCAAAUUAUAUGCAUUUCUCCAGCC